CCUACGGGUGGCUGCAGUCGAGGAUCUUCGGCAAUGGGCGCAAGCCUGACCGAGCGACGCCGCGUGAGCGAUGAAGGCCUUCGGGUCGUAAAGCUCUGUCGGGGGGGAGAAAAGGCGCAAGCCUUGAUCGACCCCCGGAGGAAGCACGGGCUAAGUUCGUGCCAGCAGCCGCGGUAAGACGAACCGUGCGAACGUUAUUCGGAAUCACUGGGCUUAAAGGGCGCGUAGGCGGGUCAUCAAGUCAGGGGUGAAAGCCCACGGCCCAACCGUGGAAG
rnacentral:rRNA from 1 species